AACAAGAAUGCUGACCAUCAAUGGUACCUGAAGAUGAGUGUAUACAACCCUGCUACGAUUUUCGGCAUUCAUGUUAGUUCGAACCCCGUCAAUCUCGCGUACUCGGAGAUCAAUGUCGCGACCGGUCAGUUGAAUAUUAUCAGCCAAGGAAGAGCCGUAGAACUGUAUCAAUUGUGUUGGAAGGCGAAAAGGUGCCACUUUAUGGAGCUGGAUCGAGCUUAACGUUUGCACAAAAUGGUGCUGCCCAAGUUCCAUUGAUGCUGAAGUUUGAAGUCCGGUCGAGAGGAAAUGUCGUCGGGAAAACUCGUGAGGACGAGGCACCGGAAACAAAUUUCUUGCCCUUUGGUAAUCGAUUCUGUGAAAACCAAGCUCCUUAAGUUCAAGAAAGACGAAUGCACGUACCAGUGAAAGUCGUUGUCGUCUCGUUGCUGCCACAUUCUGCCAUUAAAUCUCCAGCAUCGCCAUCGCUGGCCGAGCGAUAAAGGUGUUCCGUUGUCCCCUUUUCUUCGUUUUUCUUUGCGUCUUCUGUUAAGGGUGUAAAUGCUUGAUGUUUUGCUUAGUCUUUUUUGAGUUCUUUUUUUAUGGGAAAUAAACAAAUGUAUAGACGACAUAAGAGGUUUUUUGUGGUUGGUUUUGCUUAGGGAUGUUCAAAGAUAACAGAGCAAGAAUAAAGACAUCGUUUGAAUAUAA